rnacentral:rRNA from 1 species
GAUGAACGCUGGCGGCGUGCGUAACACAUGCAAGUUGAACGACGGUGUCAUGAAGUGGUAACACGGAAUGGCAUACGGAGUAGCGGACGGGUGAGUACAACAUGAGAAGCUGUCCUUCAGUGGGGGGCAACGUCUGGAAGCGGACGCUAAUACCCCAUAGGCCGAGAGGUUAAAGCAGAGAUGCGCUGGAGGAGGUGCUCGUGCCCUAUCAGCUAGUUGGUGAGGUAACGGCUCACCAAGGCGACGACGGGUAGCCGGCCUGAGAGGGUGAACGGCCACACUGGAACUGAGAUACGGUCCAGACUCCUACGGGAGGCAGCAGUGGGGAAUAUUGGGCAAUGGGAGGAAUCCUGACCCAGCGACGCCGCGUGAACGAUGAAGGCCUUAGGGUUGUAAAGUUCUUUUAUGUGGGAAGAAGGAAGUGACGGUACACAUAAUAAGCCCCCAA